AUUGAACGCUAGCGGGAUGCCUUACACAUGCAAGUCGAACGGAGUGGCGAACGGGUGAGUAAUGUAUCGGAACGUGCCUAGUAGCGGGGGAGAAAUACGAGAAAGCGAAGCUAAUACCGCAUACUAUUGGAGCGGCCGAUAGCGGAUUAGCUAGUUGGGGGGGGAACGGCGCACCAAGGCGACGAUCCGUAGCGGGUUUGAGAGGACGACCUGCCACACUGGGACUGAGACACGGCCCAGGCUCCUACGGGAGGUCGCAGUUGGGAAUUUUGGACAAUGGGUGAAACCCUGCUCCAGCCAUCCCGCGUGUGCGAUGAAGGCCUUCGGGUUGUAAAGCACUUUUGGCAGGACAGCGGUACCUGCAGAAUAAGCACCGGCUAACUACGUGCCAGCAGCCGCGGUAAUUC
rnacentral:rRNA from 1 species